UUUUUUUAACCCAUUUCUAUUUUAUACCAGAUUUCCUCUUUAACAUUAUCAAACUGAGUAUAAAUAAUGUGUUAACAUGCAGGCUUUCCAAUAAUAGUCUUAACAAGGGUAAUCCCAGUCCACCUUGGCUGACUUUCAGUGCUAAACGACUGGCACAAAUACGUGGAUGUUUACCCAACCAUAUAAAUGUAUUGAAUAUUGAUUGCGCCAAACUCAACCAACUAUCUGGACAGGCUACAGGCAACAUACGAAAUAGGUAGAUCCAUUUUGGUAGAAUAUAUGAUUUUACAAUAUUUAUUCUUCCUCACCACGAAACUUCCCAAGAUUUCCACUCUUUAAAUUUUUUACCAGUAUAUUUAAGUAGAGACAUAAAAUUACUCUCCAUAAGAUUGAGAGGGUUUGUCGUUAUUUGAAUUCCAAGAUAUAUAAAAUUAGAAGAUGAGCAAUCUAACCCAAACUU